GGAGUUAGCCGGUGCUUCUUCUGUGAGUGAUGUCCUUCCUGCCGGCUAUUAACCCGCAGGCCUUCUUCCUCACUGAAAGUGCUUUACAACCCGAAGGCCUUCUUCACACACGCGGCAUGGCUGGAUCAGGGUUGCCCCCAUUGUCCAAUAUUCCCCACUGCUGCCUCCCGUAGGAGUCUGGGCCGUGUCUCAGUCCCAGUGUGGCUGAUCAUCCUCUCAGACCAGCUACGGAUCGUCGCCUUGGUGAGCCGUUACCUCACCAACCAGCUAAUCCGACAUAGGCUCAUCCGAUAGCGCGAGGCCCGAAGGUCCCCCGNUUUCCCCCGUAGGGCGUAUGCGGUAUUAGCCUGGGUUUUCCCCAGGUUAUCCCCCACUACCGGGCAGAUUCCUAUGCAUUACUCACCCGUCCGCCGCUCGCCACCAGGGAGCAAGCUCCCCGUGCUGCCGCUCGACUUGCAUGUGUUAGGCCUGCCGCCAGCGUUCAAUCUGAGCCAGGAUCAAACUCUGA
rnacentral:rRNA from 1 species